AAACUGGGACCAGAUGGGGAAGGCCUUGUAUAUUGCUGAGAAAGCAGUUGAUGAUUUGGCUCUCAAAUGAAUGAAUAAAUGAAUGAACAAGGUGUCACCAUAUAAAGAAUGUUGCUGAUUCCACAAGCCACACACAAAAAUCCAGUUCAUUUCUGUCUUUGUAUCUCAGCAUACAGGGGUGGAGUAGGACAGCAGUGUGACAGGCUCAGGCCAGCCAAAUCCAGUGUAAGGAACAAGAGCCAGGGUUUCUUGUCCUGCCUCUGUAAACAAUUUGCUAUGUGACUUUGGGCAACUUCUUUCCUCUUCCUGGACCUCAGCUUGACAAUUCUAAGGCUGAAGUAACAUCUUGGGGACAGCUCAAUGUAGCGGCUCAGAGACCGGGAAAAGGCGAGAGGACUAUAGUUUUAAUUGGUUUGACCAGGUGGAUGGGAUGUCGUUAAACAGAGAACAUGGAGAUUGAGUAUGAGGUACCUUCAUGGCUUCCAAGUGAAAAUGUUACAAGGACCAGAAACACCGUUUUGAUCUGAGCAGAGAGAUCAGAACCAGAGAAAUUACUGUGUGAGCUGGUACUUCUGUCAGAAUAUCUAAUACGCUUCACUAUCAUAGUCUGUAUUAAACUGGCUCUACUGCUAGUCAGUAUGCUUCCUGUGGCAGGAACCAUGUGGCUCUUGCUCGCUUUUGUUUUUCUGGCAUCUAGCACAGUGCACAGCAUAUAGUAAGAUCCCAAUGCAUGUUUUUUAAAAAGUUACUGCUUUAUCAUAUGCCGUGCAAAAAUAAUGGAAGUUUUAAAUCACUAAGGGAGUUCUCAAGAGAGCAUAUUACUGUGAAAGGAGGUUGGGCAUCAGAAAAUGUUGGGAAGCCCUGGCCUGAGUAACCUCUAAGACCUCGGUAGGCUCUGUGACUCUAAAUCAAGAACUUGCUCUGUAGGACCAGCAGUGGCUGUCUGUGGAGCUCAUAUCAUUCUAGAACAAACAAUGGAAUCCACCCUGGUGGUGGUUUAAAAAUACGUGUACAAGCUCUUUGAUACUUCUGCCUCCAACAAGUAGUGUCUCCUUCCCCUCUUUGAACAUAGGCGGGCCUUAGUGACUCAUUUCUAAAGGCUAGAAUGUGGCGAAGGUGAUACUGAGUGGCUUCUUAGGCUUGUCAUAAAA